rnacentral:rRNA from 1 species
AGAGAAUAGAUACCCGGGUAGUCCACGCCGUAAACGAUGAGAACUAGCCGUUCGGUCCUGUAUGGGAUUGAGUGGCGCAGCUAACGCGAUAAGUUCUCCGCCUGGGGAGUACGGCCGCAAGGUUAAAACUCAAAUGAAUUGACGGGGGCCCGCACAAGCGGUGGAGCAUGUGGUUUAAUUCGAUGCAACGCGAAGAACCUUACCUGGCCUUGACAUGUCGCGAACCCUUGAGAGAUCGAGGGGUGCCCUCGGGAGCGCGAACACAGGUGCUGCAUGGCUGUCGUCAGCUCGUGUCGUGAGAUAUUGGGUUAAGUCCCGUAACGAGCGCAACCCUUGUCCCUAGUUGCCAUCAUUCAGUUGGGAACUCUAGGGAGACCGCCGGUGAUAAACCGGAGGAAGGUGGGGAUGACGUCAAGUCAUCAUGGCCCUUAUGGCCAGGGCUACACACGUGCUACAAUGGUCGGUACAGAGGGCUGCCAAGCCGCAAGGUGGAGCUAAUCCCACAAAGCCGAUCGUAGUCCGGAUUGGAGU